AUGUAGUGUAGGAUGCCUGUUUGGUGAAUUACUCUGAUGAAUAUUUUAUAUUUAAUUAUUUUGGGAUAACGGGGUGUUGCACACUCUA
rfam:Medicago truncatula strain A17 chromosome 1, whole genome shotgun sequence.